rnacentral:rRNA from 1 species
UACGUAGGUGGCAAGCGUUAUUCGGAAUCACUGGGCUUAAAGAGUCCGUAGGCGGCUUGUUAGGUGAGGUGUGAAAUCCCUCGGCCCAACCGAGGAAUUGCGCUUCAAACCGGCAAGCUAGAGGAGGAUAGAGGUGGGCGGAACUGAUGGUGGAGCGGUGAAAUGCGUUGAUAUCAUCAGGAACACCGGAGGCGAAGGCGGUCCACUGGGUCCUUUCUGACGCUGAGGGACGAAAGCUAGGGGAGCGAACGGG